UUCUAAAUUUCUCUGUUCCUGCAGAAGAUCUGGAGAGAAAAUAGCUUUAAUACACCUGGCCCAGGAGCCAGUGUCCUUUGAACAGGUGGCUGUGCACUUCACAGAAGGGGAGUGGGCACUCCUGAACCCUCAACAACGAGCCUUGCAUAGGGACGUGAUGCAGGAGAAUUACGAAAAUGUGAACUCCCUGGUUCUUUCCAUCGCCGCUUCCGAUACGAACUGCACCGAUGAAGGAGACAAGGGAACCCGCUUGAUCCCCUCCUCCCAGGGCUCUCCAGAAGGGAAAGACUGUCACAUUCCCA